UACGAUGAAGCAUUUCCUCCUGCAACUAUUACUUGGAUACAUAAUGGAAUCCAGAGAUCUGUCAAUGACCGAGAUUUCGCUUUGUACAAGGGUAUUGGAGUUGAGGGGUCAAUAUCCUCUACUCUUAAAAUCAAGUCGCUAACUGAUGAACUUGUUGGAAACUAUGUCUGCAAGGCUGCAAAUAAACUUGGGUCUGCAGACACAGGAUUUAAGGUUGUAAGAGGAUAUCAGACUAACUGUGACGUAGGAAACUGUGAUUACAAUUCCUACUCAAGAGUUCUUCCAUCCUUCAUCCUUACUUCCUUCCUUCUGUCUCCUCUUUUCUUCUAAUCAUCCCUUCCCUUUCUACUUCCUUCCUUCUGUCUCCUCUUUUCUACUAAUCAUCCCUUCCCUUCCUAUUUACUUCCUUCCUUCUUACUCCUCGUUUCUUAUAAUCAUUCCUUCCCUUCCCUUUCUACUUGCUUCCUUCUGUCUUCUCUUUUCUACUAAUCAUUCCUUCCAUUACCUUUUUACUUCCUUCCUUCUGUGUCCGCUUUUCUACUAAUCAUUCCUUCCUUUCCCUUUCUAAUGCCUUCCUUCUCUCUCCUCUUUUUUACUAAUCAUUCCUUCCCUUCCCUUCUCUAUAUUAAAGCAUUCCAUACAUUAUCCUACAUCCUUAUGCACUUCCUUCUUCCUUUCAUUCUCAAGUCAAUUUCACUUAUCCCCCUUCAACCCUUUCUCAAGAACAUUUUUGAAACAAGAGAAUAAAAUCCAAAAUAAAAUACAUGAUCCAACAUGAAAGACUGCUGUAUAAGUGAUACAAAUCUAAAAUGAUAUCCAGUGAACAAAAGACGACAUUUAGUGACGAAAUUAUAAAUAUAUGUGAAAUCAGCAAUCAGUGUCUGAUUUCUUAGCUGUGGUUCUUUGUACAUUGUUGUUUAAAUAUACAAUUGAUAAAAAGCUUCAA